UGGGUAACCUGCCUCGAUGACCGGGACAACCCGAGGAAACCCGGGCUAAUACCGGAUGUGCUCCUUCACAUCAGUGAAGGCAGGAAAGGAAGCUUCGGCCUCCGCAUCGAGAUGGGCCCGCGGCCCAUUAGCUUGUUGGUGAGGUAACGGCUCACCAAGGCUGCGAUGGGUAGCUGGUCUGAGAGGACGAUCAGCCACACUGGGACUGAGACACGGCCCAGACCUCUACGGGAGG
rnacentral:rRNA from 1 species